UACAGGGGGUGCAAACGUUGCUCGGAAUCAUUGGGCGUAAAGCGCACGUAGGCGGUUCGUUAUGUCGGAUGUGAAAGCCCUUGGCUUAACCGAGGAAGUGCAUCCGAAACUGGCGAGCUAGAGUACGAAAGAGGAUCGCGGAAUUCCCGGUGUAGAGGUGAAAUUCGUAGAUAUCGGGAGGAACACCUGUGGCGAAAGCGGCGCACUGAACCAUAACUGACGCUGAGGCGCGAAAGCUAGGGGAGCAAACAGG
rnacentral:rRNA from 1 species